CGCACAUUCUGGCACCCGUUCCACGAGGAUGUUGCGCGACGGGGGCAGCGUGACCUUCCUGCCACCAGUUUGGCCAACUUUUUUAUUAUCAUUGCUAUUACGCCCAGCGUGGUCGGAGUCACACGUCUGACAAAUCCACGCGCGAGCCACGGAAAGCAGCUUUGUUUACAGCGCUCGAUAAAAAUAAAUGGUCCCCGCUUCUCGUGUGUCACGCCGCUGCAACGGCGGUGAUGGCAAAACGCACGCGCACCUUCGGAACCAUCUCCGCGUCUGCAGCUAUUCACCACGUCCGUCCGCUCAGCGCUGCUGUCACUUUACCACGACUUUCAACUCGGCGACGGGCUCCGGAGUUCUGCCCGUAAAUGACAUCUUAUCUCCACGCCACAGUCGCGAGGAAUCGCGUCAAAGUACGCCAGAAGCCACAUAAAGUGGACGCAGAAAUCCACCAGGCUCGUGUUCGCGAAGCUUGACAGGGGUCUCCCGAAGCCAUUCUGGGGGACGGAGUCCGGCGGCGCGGCGUUCUUGCCGGCCUCGUUGGCUUUUUUUGGACCCGACUCUCUCGGCGUUUUGGCGAAAGACCCGAUAGACGGGAAUUAGCGAGCAGCCUUGUUAUUCGGAGCAAUCCGCAGCAGCAGAUCAGCAGACAGCGUCAAUCGAGCCCGGCGCGCUGCGAUGGAUCGGUCCACACUUAGAACAAACAACCAUCGGGGCGGUGCUGUUUACCCAGAGACCCAAGUGGAGGAGUGGGAGCGAGUCCCUGCGAGGACUGUGCAGCCUGACGGUCUGCACGCGCCCUGCGCCUCGGAGCUCUGUUGCAAUCCAACUACUCAAUGGGUGAUGGUACAGUAGGCUGCGCGCGCUGGGCUCCUUCUGCGAAGCCCCUACCUGUCCCCAAGGAAUUAACUGAACUAACCUGUAUUUGUAUUCAUCACAGGGGAAAAAACUAAAAUAAAAAGUGCUCAUGUGUUAAUAAGUGCUGACCUACAGUAUCUACUGACAUUUGGCAGAGCCCCCACUGUUCAGUUAACCACCAAAAUACAUGUAUUGAUUAUGAAUGCAUAAGGUAUGUAAAAUGAUAAAUUAUUAAAUAAAAUACUUUUUAUCUUGUUAAAUUA